GCCUAUUUAGCUCAGUGGCAGAGCGCUGGUCUAUUAAACCAGAGGUCAUGAGUUCGAUCCUCACAGGGAGCA
rnacentral:tRNA from 1 species